rnacentral:rRNA from 1 species
UGAGGGAAUAUUUGGGGUCAAUGGGGCGAGAGCCUGAACCAGCCAAGUCGCGUGAGGGAAGAAGGUCCUACGGAUUGUAAACCUCUUUUGCCGGGGAGCAAAGGGGCCAUUUAUGGCAGGAUGAGCGUACCCGGAGAAUAAGCAUCGGCUAACUCCGUGCCAGCAGCCGCGGUAAUACGGAGGAUGCGAGCGUUAUCCGGAUUUAUUGGGUUUAAAGGGUGCGUAGGUGGUCUUUUAAGUCAGCGGUGAAAGUUUGUGGCUCAACCAUAAAAUUGCCAUUGAAACUGGGAGACUUGAGUAUGUUUGAGGUAGGCGGAAUGCGUGGUGUAGCGGUGAAAUGCAUAGAUAUCACGCAGAACUCCGAUUGCGAAGGCAGCUUGCCAAGCCAUAACUGACACUGAAGCACGAAAGCGUGGGUAUCAAACAGGAUUAGAUACCCUGGUAGU